ensembl:lncRNA
GAAGUUAUUCUAAUGUUUCUACUGACUGUUCUAGAACUUUUGGACAUUUCGUCACGUUAUAGUGGAUGCGCUUUGUGACUUUGGACUUGUUUACCAAAAUUGGACAUAAAUAACGGACAUUUUCAAACAAAUCAAGCAUUUAUUAUGGCCUUGGGAUUCCUAGGACUGCAUUCUGAUGAAGUUCAUCAAAGAAAUGAAGCCCAGGAGUCAAACAAAGUAUUUAAUUUCAGGGUGGUCUGAGGAACAUCGCUUGGGAAGUGGCAUCAGUGAGUCGUAGAGGAUUGUCAGAGGCAGGCCUGCCCCCAACUGACGGAGGACAAGGAGUGUGGUAGUCCUCAAGGAGCUGUCGCAUCAGGUUUAUCCUGUACUGCUGGUACAAGAUCACCUGUCCUGUGACCUGCUGGUGGACAAUGUGGCGGUUGACGAGAGCUAUAUCUAUUAGGUUGAAAAAUAGCUUCUUGUAACAUUUAAGGGACUUUAUGGCACACUAAACAAAACUGUUCUGCAUGUCCACUUUGUCAACUGCUCCCAUCCUCUUGUUGUACUCCAAGACACAGUCUGGCUUCAUUUUCCUCUCUCCAGUGACAGUCUAGUUCCCCUGUGUCCGACAUUUUGGAGGUGUGCACAGUGGACAGAAAAUGGACAUUGCAUUUGCCGUGCCAUUUUACUGCCAAUAUCUCCUCGUUUGUUUGGAAAUCUACCUCCUCCUUGCUCAUUUUCCAUAAGCCCCUGUGUUCUCCCUCAAACGGUACUGUAAAAGGGUAGGGUGCUGUACCACAAAUACAGAUUGCCCCUUUCCGAGUUAAGGCUACAGCAUGGUGAUCACCACUGAUGUAGAAAUGGCAAAACCUUCAAAAUGCCUUAUACCUGAGGUGGUGCCGGUGUAGAUGAUUAGGUCCUGCACAUAUCCUGUCAGACAGUCACAUAAAACAAAGAACUUGACUCCAAAUCUGUGGCGCUUUGAUGGGAUGUAUUCACGGAAUGCAAGCCUCUCUUUCUAAGCCGUGAGAGACUAAUCAAUGCACAUGUCCUUGUAAGGCACAACCACUCCAAAUGCCUGGUCAAGCUGCCCAGGUAAUCCUAAUUUUAUGAAAGGGGUCGGCGAGGUUGGCAGGGGCAUUGUUCAGAAAGUGGAGCUCUGUCAGCAAAACAAGGAAGCGGUCUUGGGAGAAAAGGGUGGGGGAAAAGGUGUCUGCAGCAUGGGCUCAGUGUUCUAGUAGGCUCUCACAUAGCCCUUCUUCACCAUCAGUAGCACCGUAACCAGGAAGGUAUACAUUUCACUGAUGGGAAUGUUAACCCAUUUUGAGAGCUUCCCUUUUACACCAAUAUACACUGUAACAAGCAUAUUGAAUAUAUGUAAUUUGCUGAAAAGUGGCCAAACUAAGUUGAUAUUUUUAGGACAAUGGGCACAGCCAUCUUUGACUUUGUUUAUUUGCGUCUUAUAGUGAAUGGCAUUCUGGGAUAAAGUAGUUUUCGCAUGUCAAACAUAAACAAACAUGGCUUCCAUCAUAAGGAAGUUGGCUGCUGUUAGAUUAGCUGACACAUACUGUAUCUCUU